AACGCUGGCGGCGUGCCUAACACAUGCAAGUCGAGCGGAGACAUGCGACGGAGCGGAAGUCUUCGGAUGGAAGCAAAGAUGUAUGUUUAGCGGCGGACGGGUGAGUAACGCGUGAGCAACCUGUCCCUCACAGGGGGAUAACACAGCGAAAGUUGUACUAAUACCGCAUAAGACCACAGCAGGGCAUCCUGCGGGGGUCAAAGGAGCAAUCCGGUGAGGGGUGGGCUCGCGUCCGAUUAGAUAGUUGGUGGGUAACGGCCUACCAAGUCGACGAUCGGUAGCCGACCUGAGAGGGUGAUCGGCCACAUUGGGACUGAGACACGGCCCAAACUCCUACGGGAGGCAGCAGUGGGGAAUAUUGGGCAAUGGGGGGAAACCCCUGACCCAGCAACGCCGCGUGAGGGAAGAAGGUUUUCGGAUCGUAAACCUCUGUCCUUGGUGAAGAGGAAGAGACGGUAGCCAAGGAGGAAGCCCCGGCUAACUACGUGCCAGCCGCUGC
rnacentral:rRNA from 1 species